UACGGAGGGGGCUAGCGUUGUUCGGAAUUACUGGGCGUAAAGCGCACGUAGGCGGCUUUGUAAGUUAGAGGUGAAAGCCCAGGGCUUAACCCUGGAAUUGCCUUUAAGACUGCAUCGCUAGAAUCGUGGAGAGGUGAGUGGAAUUCCGAGUGUAGAGGUGAAAUUCGUAGAUAUUCGGAAGAACACCAGUGGCGAACGCGACUCACUGGACACGUAUUGACGCUGAGGUGCGAAAGCGUGGGGAGCAAACAGG
rnacentral:rRNA from 1 species